CAGUCGCCGCGGGAAUACAGAGGGUGCGAGCGUUAAUCGGAUUUACUGGGCGUAAAGCGUGCGUAGGCGGCUUCUUAAGUCGGAUGUGAAAUCCCUGAGCUUAACUUAGGAAUUGCAUUCGAUACUGGGAAGCUAGAGUAUGGGAGAGGAUGGUAGAAUUCCAGGUGUAGCGGUGAAAUGCGUAGAGAUCUGGAGGAAUACCGAUGGCGAAGGCAGCCAUCUGGCCUAAUACUGACGCUGAGGUACGAAAGCAUGGGGAGCAAACAGGAUUAGAUAACCCAGUAGUCCCUGUCUCUUAUAC
rnacentral:rRNA from 1 species